rnacentral:rRNA from 1 species
AUUGAACGCUGGCGGCAUGCUUUACGCAUGCGAGUCGAACGGUAACAGGCCGCUAGGUGCUGACGAGUGGCGAACGGGUGAGUAAUGCAUCGGAACGUGCCCAGCCGUGGGGGAUAACUACUCGAAAGAGUAGCUAAUACCCCAUACGAUCUAUGGAUGAAAGCGGGGGACCGUAAGGCCUCGCGCGAUUGGAGCGGCCGAUGUCAGAUUAGGUAGUUGGUGGGGUAAAGGCUCACCAAGCCAACGAUCUGUAGCUGGUCUGAGAGGACGACCAGCCACACUGGGACUGAGACACGGCCCAGACUCCUACGGGAGGCAGCAGUGGGGAAUUUUGGACAAUGGGCGCAAGCCUGAUCCAGCAAUGCCGCGUGCAGGAAGAAGGCCUUCGGGUUGUAAGCUGCUUUUGUACGGAACGAAACGGCUCUGGUUAAUACCCGGGGCUAAUGACGGUACCGUAAGAAUAAGCACCGGCUAACUACGUG